UACGAAGGGGGCUAGCGUUGUUCGGAUUUACUGGGCGUAAAGGGCGCGUAGGCGGGCUGAUCAGUCAGGGGUGAAAUCCCAAGGCUCAACCUUGGAACUGCCUUUGAUACUGUCGGUCUUGAGUUCGAGAGAGGUAAGUGGAACUGCGAGUGUAGAGGUGAAAUUCGUAGAUAUUCGGAAGAACACCAGUGGCGAAGGCGACUCACUGGCCCGAUACUGACGCUGAGGCGCGAAAGCGUGGGGAGCAAACAGG
rnacentral:rRNA from 1 species